rnacentral:lncRNA from 1 species
GUUCGCCCCCUGGUGUAAGCAGUGUUUAGAAGUAGGGGAUGUAACCGGAUCAAGAGGACUCUGAAGUCAUUGAUGAAUUAACCCACAGAUGGCCUCAUAACUGAAGGGACUUUUGGGAGGAAGGGAUCUGACUGGAGGAAGUAGGUUGCCAGGGUGUGUAUUUGCGGGGUUAUCUUGUGCCCGUCUGCCUCCCCCAGUCUUUCUCAGCUUCCGGUGCAGUACGUGGUGGGCAGCUUUGUUCUAUGGUGGGUUGUUUGUGACGUUUUGCCUUGCUUUGAACCAGGAGCAGUGGUGUUCACUAGCCAGGGGCCGAAACCCCUGAAACCGUCAGCCAAAAUGAAUCCUUCCUUUAUUCCUCUCAGAGGAAUGGCUGACAGGGAGAGCUGUCUCUAGUUUGUUCAAAGGACAUCCAUGUUGCCUAACAUGACAUUCAUCCCUGUUCGGGGUUUGUUAAAUGAAGAGAAGCUGCCUGAGACUGUAGCCCAGGCAGUCACGUGACCCAUAGGUCCCUGCGCUCCCAUCGCUUCUGUUCUGUCCAGGUUCCUGCCCUGACUGCUCUCAGUGAUGGAGUGAGACCUAAGAUUUGGAACCCGAAGUAAACCCUCAGCUCGCCAAGUUGCUCAUGGUUUUCAUCUCAGCCACAGGGACACAUGGAUGGACUGUAUCCCUCUGCGACUGUGAGCCAAAAGAAAAAUCUCUCGAGCUGCCUUUAUCAGGGUAUUUUAUCCCAGAAACAGAAAGGAAACAGACACAUCUGGAUGUUUUAUUUUGAUUUUAUCCCAUGAGUUCUGGGAGAUAGAACUGAAGCAAGUAUUUUAUACCAACUGAGCUAUAUCCCCAGCCCUACAAGUUAAAUUCUCUAACUGCCUGAUUCACCUCAAAGACAUAAUGAUGAUCUCUGGUUUGGAUCUCAAGACCUGUGAGCAGAGGGAGAGAGAUGGGGCUUUAGCCAAACACCUCACCUGACCAUGGAAGAGACAUGAGGUUUUCCUAUACAUCAUCUAACUGAACUCUCCCAGGUUAGGUCCACCACAGAGAUGUGUGUCACCUUCUUCUAUGGAUCUAGAAAUGGACAUGUAAUGAGAUGGAUUGAGC